rnacentral:rRNA from 1 species
AGUGAACGCUGGCGAUAGGCCUAACACAUGCAAGUCGAACGGCAGCACAGUAAGAGCUUGCUCUUACGGGUGGCGAGUGGCGGACGGGUGAGGAAUACAUCGGAAUCUACUUUUUCGUGGGGGAUAACGUAGGGAAACUUACGCUAAUACCGCAUACGACCUACGGGUGAAAGCAGGGGAUCUUCGGACCUUGCGCGAUUGAAUGAGCCGAUGUCGGAUUAGCUAGUUGGCGGGGUAAAGGCCCACCAAGGCGACGAUCUGUAGCUGGUCUGAGAGGAUGAUCAGCCACACUGGAACUGAGACACGGUCCAGACUCCUACGGGAGGCAGCAGUGGGGAAUAUUGGACAAUGGGCGCAAGCCUGAUCCAGCCAUACCGCGUGGGUGAAGAAGGCCUUCGGGUUGUAAAGCCCUUUUGUUGGGAAAGAAAAGCAGCAGGUUAAUACCCCGCUGUUCUGACGGUACCCAAAGAAUAAGCACCGGCUAACUUCGUG